rnacentral:sRNA from 1 species
UUCGAGUCUCGACUCCACUGUUGACCCCUAGACGAGAGUAGUGCAGCGACGGGGCCGUGAUGUGCGUCCUGGCUUUCUUAACGACACCUCUUCUCUGUAUUUCCUUUUUCCAAGCCUGCUCCAAGUUUUCCUCAGUGAGGCCUUUCGCUGGAUUGGUCUGAGGAACAAUUCUGGCUGGAGGUGGGAAGAUGGAUCACCUCUAAACUUCUUAAGGAUUUAUUCUAAUAGCUUGGUGCAGACGUGCGGUGCCAUCAACAAAUAUGGUCUUCAAGCCUCAAGCUGUGAAGUUCCUUUACAGUGGGUGUGUAAGGUCAGACCUUGAUGGAUGACCACUCUGUCCUGACCCUCAGAUCUGUCAUGUAUCCCUAAAAGGAGGGAGCUGGCCACUGGCUGUUGGGAAAGCCAUGAGUAUAUAGUUAGCAAAUACUGAACUUUCUCAGAUAUGGCAUUAGAUGCAAGACAACCUCCUAGGGAUUGAUGCCUAACUGAUGGAUUCUCUUUGAGACUAUUCAGAUAUUAUGUGAGCAAUUUAAAGACCAGAUCUAAGCAAAUUUUUGAAAUAGAUGUUUGUUUUUUGUAUUUCUCAGUAUGGCAACUAAUGCUGCCACUCUCAUCCCCGUCCCAACCAUCUCUGUCAAAAAUAUACCUUUUUCAUAUAUUCUGAGCUAAUCUGAUAAAAUCUAUGCUGAUAUAUACUAUUGCUUGUGUUCUAGAGAAGUACAUUAUUGCUGUACUCCUCUGUACAUUACCGAUCCCUGAUGGUAUAUUUCUAUCCUAACAGUGACCCUUUGCAGAUCAAGCUUUAUUCUAAAGAAUAAACCUAGCUGGCAUGCUGGUGUGUACGUG